AUGCUUUACACAUGCAAGUCGAACGGCAGCACGGGGGCAACCCUGGUGGCGAGUGGCGAACGGGUGAGUAAUAUAUCGGAACGUACCCGGAAAUGGGGGAUAACGUAGCGAAAGUUGCGCUAAUACCGCAUAUGCCCUGAGGGGGAAAGCGGGGGAUCCGCAAGGACCUCGCGUUUUCGGAGCGGCCGAUAUCGGAUUAGCUAGUAGGUGGGGUAAAGGCUCACCUAGGCGACGAUCCGUAGCUGGUCUGAGAGGACGACCAGCCACACUGGAACUGAGACACGGUCCAGACUCCUACGGGAGGCAGCAGUGGGGAAUUUUGGACAAUGGGCGAAAGCCUGAUCCAGCCAUGCCGCGUGAGUGAAGAAGGCCUUCGGGUUGUAAAGCUCUUUCAGCCGGAAAGAAAGCGCAUGGGUGAAUAACCUGUGUGGAUGACGGUACCGGAAGAAGAAGCACCGGCUAACUACGUGCCAGCAGCCGCGGUAAUACGUAGGGUGCGAGCGUUAAUCGGAAUUACUGGGCGUAAAGCGUGCGCAGGCGGUUUUGUAAGACAGAUGUGAAAUCCCCGGGCUUAACCUGGGAACUGCAUUUGUGACUGCAAGGCUAGAGUACGGCAGAGGGGGGUAGAAUUCCACGUGUAGCAGUGAAAUGCGUAGAUAUGUGGAGGAAUACCGAUGGCGAAGGCAGCCCCCUGGGUCGAUACUGACGCUCAUGCACGAAAGCGUGGGGAGCAAACAGGAUUAGAUACCCUGGUAGUCCACGCCCUAAACGAUGUCAACUAGGUGUUGGGGGGGGAGACUUCCUUAGUACCGCAGCUAACGCGUGAAGUUGACCGCCUGGGGAGUACGGUCGCAAGAUUAAACUCAA
rnacentral:rRNA from 1 species